AUUGAACGCUGGCGGCAGGCCUAACACAUGCAAGUCGAGCGGUAGAGAGAAGCUUGCUUCUCUUGAGAGCGGCGGACGGGUGAGUAAUGCCUAGGAAUCUGCCUGGUAGUGGGGGAUAACGUUCGGAAACGGACGCUAAUACCGCAUACGUCCUACGGGAGAAAGCAGGGGACCUUCGGGCCUUGCGCUAUCAGAUGAGCCUAGGUCGGAUUAGCUAGUUGGUGGGGUAAUGGCCCACCAAGGCGACGAUCCGUAUCUGGUCUGAGAGGAUGAUCAGUCACACUGGAACUGAGACACGGUCCAGACUCCUACGGGAGGCAGCAGUGGGGAAUAUUGGACAAUGGGCGAAAGCCUGAUCCAGCCAUGCCGCGUGUGUGAAGAAGGUCUUCGGAUUGUAAAGCACUUUAAGUUGGGAGGAAGGGCAGUAAAUUAAUACUUUGCUGUUUUGACGUUACCGACAGAAUAAGCACCGGCUAACUCUGUG
rnacentral:rRNA from 1 species